UUUGCAAAUGUUUGACUGGUUUUCCUAGAGGAAAGUUUCUAUAGGGGAAACAGUAAAUAAGACUUGCCACAUCAAUUUCAUUCCAUUGAGAAAGUGAAUCCGACAUGUAAUUAUAAUUUAAAGGUUAGGAUGCAACUGACCCCAAAUCAGUUUCAUAGAUUCAUAUUUGUACAUUACCAGUGCAAUUUACACACACACUGAUCUCUUUUUUUCCCCUUCAGAGCCAGGAAAGGUGUCACACUUAAAGGCGUCUGCUCCUACUACUGACUCUGUCUACCUCCAAUGGGAGCAGCCUGCAGGGAAUAUCUCUGGGUUUAGAGUGGACGUCUUGCAUGAAGAAAACGUCAUUAACAAGACGCUGAUCAACAUAAACCUGAAAGAUACAAGUCUUAGGGUGAUGAACCUGUCGGCAGGCGCCAAGCUCUGGCUGAGCGUGGUAGCACUGGUGCCCGACGCAUUUGUGAAAGGAGAGCCCAGCACCGUGAUGGCCUUCACCAGUGAGUUUGGACAGAUGAUAAUGGUGUUGGGAGAAGUUGCCCCUAGACAACUAAUGGUUGAGGUUAGGAUUUGGGGAGGGUCAGCUGAUCCUAGAUCUAUAUCAAGGGGAAAUGUUACCCAGAAUAAUGAGGCAUUAGUUGAUUGAUUGGAUGUUUGAUUUGUUGAUGGGUUGCUUGAUUGGUAUGUUGGAUAGUAUCUUUAUGAAUGAUGUAUAAUAACUGUAUAUUAUCGUAGGAAUAGCCUAAUACUUUCUUGCUACCAUUAUUAUGCACUCAAUUUGUUACUGUAAUGUAUUUUCCCUUGUCUCACAUUAAUCUCUACCUCCCCCUCCCCUCUUCCCUCUCACCCCCAUAGGUCCAGGUGACGUUACUGACUUAGAGUUGGUCCCUGCUGCGCACACCAUCAGUGUGACCUGGACAGCUCCUGGGGGCAACUACGAGACUUUCAGCGUUCAGCUCAAUCUAACCGCCUUGGAACAGGAAGUCGGGAAAAAAGGAGCAAAACGCCAGUCCUCUCUCCUUCACGGGACUGAAGGCAGGAGCCGAAUAUACAGUGACAGUCACCACUCUGAAUGGGUAUCUCAAGAGCCAACCAAGGAACAAAACAGUUUUCACUCUUCCUGUCCCACCGGAACCAGCCAAAAUCGACUCCUUCAGUGAGAGUCAUGUCACCCUGUCAUGGGGAGCCCCCAAGGCAUCCCAAGGCGUAGAACUGACAUACCUGGUCAAAUACACCACUGAAUUCUGGAAUUUGACAAAGAAUGAGACUGUGAAGAAUGCCACCACCUAUAUAUUUAAUGGGUUGUAUGCUGGGACCAACUACGACUUCGAAGUACGAGUGAAGGCGGGAACCCAGGAAAGCAGUCCGGUCAUAGUAUCACAGAUGACAAUUGCUAAGGAGAGGGUUCUGACUAUUACCAUGAAGUGUUCCUCCAGCGAACCCCUCUACUGUAAGGACAUCCGCACACGGACAGAGGUCAUGUCAAAGUUGCAUGAGCAUUUCCGCAAGGAGUUCUACAAGAAGAGAGAUAUUGUGUUCUGGGAACUGGACUGGACAGAGGCAUAAUAUCUCACACAAGCUUGACCAAAUACUACUACUUUCACUGUAUCAUUUCAAAUCCUAAGUGCUGGAUUACAGACCCAAAACAAAAAAACUACUGUCCCAAUACUUUGGGACCUCACUGUAUGUGUGUUGAAUUCCUUGUCUUAGCCAUCCUUGUCUUGCUUGUUUUCAAGAUGUCAUGUUUUUCUUUUGGAAAUACAUUUUAGUAACAUAUUGUCUCUUACCAAUUGUCAAAUGAAUCAAUGAAAAUGUACUUCAUCUGACUGUGGUGUGAAUAAAACUACAUUAUGUAAUCAAGUAUUUUCUAGUAAGUCUCUGUGCAUCUCAAUCAAGAAGGCACC
rnacentral:lncRNA from 8 species